AUGAAAAUAAAAACGGCAGAAGAAAAAGAAAUAAACUCUUAUCUUAGGAUGGAGGUCACUGGAACCGGAAGGGGCAGAGCGCAACACGACGUCCAUGGCGGUUUUCACGACGGGUUCUAUAUGCAGAUCGCGGCGACACCGUGUGCUGGUGGGCUGUCCGGCGGAGAUGUGGAUCCGGGAGGAGGUGGAAGAUUUUCUCUUCUCCUGAAAAAACUCUUAGGCAAGAAAUUUGUGCUUAAAAGUCUGGUGAUUACAGGUUUUGAUUAUGAUAGAUGA